AAUCAACGCUGGCGGCGUGCCUCAGACAUGCAAGUCGAACGAUUAAGACUUCCUUCGGGAAGUGCAUAAAGUGGCGCACGGGUGAGUAACACGUAAGUAAUCUACCCUCGAGUGGGGAAUAACGUUCGGAAACGAACGCUAAUACCGCAUAACGCAGCGGCACCGCGAGGUGACAGUUGUUAAAGGAGCAAUCCGCUUGAGGAGGAGCUUGCGGCAGAUUAGCUAGUUGGUAAGGUAAUGGCUUACCAAGGCUACGAUCUGUAUCCGGUCUAAGAGGACGGUCGGACACACUGACACUGAAUAACGGGUCAGACUCCUACGGGAGGCAGCAGUCGGGAAUUUUGGGCAAUGGGCGAAAGCCUGACCCAGCAACGCCGCGUGAAGGAUGAAGUAUUUCGGUAUGUAAACUUCGAAAGAAUGGGAAGAAUAAAUGACGGUACCAUUUAUAAGCUCCGGCUAACUACGUGCCAGCAGCCGCAGUAAUAC
rnacentral:rRNA from 1 species